UUUCCUGUCAAUCUUGGACCACUAUCGGACCAGUAUCACCUAUAUAUAGAAAAAUUUAGGGCGAUCUAAACCAGACUCGAAACGUCAGUAUCGUCAGCGCAUUCGACCAACCUACAGUCGAAACAAAUUUCCGUAGGUACAUAAUCGUUUGUUGACUAUUAUCGAAGAUUCUACAGUGCAAGACAACAUCAUGAGCGAUUGUUCAGUGCAGACAAACACAAACACCCAAGAAAAUAAGAAAGAUGUGACGGACAACUCCACCGCUUCGAAUACUAAGCCGAAGAACGCUCCAGAGCAGCCGAAGACAAACCGGAAGAAACGGCACAUAUUUGAUGUUCCAGACAGAACGGAUAUAGGGCCGAAUGGACGAAAAGUAGAAGAAUUUAUUUAAAAAUCAAGUAUUUAUACUAAAUCUAUGAUGUGUUCUACAUUACAGUACUAAUAAGCAUGUACGUCCGAAAGUAUUGUAGGUUACUAUAAACAUUUAACUGUAACAUGUAACUGUAACUGUUAAUUGCCACAUGAAACUUGAAAUACAUGUUUUAAAAUAUU